AUUGAACGCUGGCGGCAGGCUUAACACAUGCAAGUCGAGCGGGGGAAGGUAGCUUGCUACCGGACCUAGCGGCGGACGGGUGAGUAAUGUUUAGGAAUCUGCCUAUUAGUGGGGGACAACAUCUCGAAAGGGAUGCUAAUGCCGCAUACGUCCUACGGGAGAAAGCAGGGGAUCUUCGGACCUUGCGCUAAUAGAUGAGCCUAAGUCGGAUUAGCUAGUUGGUGGGGUAAAGGCCUACCAAGGCGGCGAUCUGUAGCGGGUCUGGGAGGAUGUGCCGCCGCACUGGGACCGAGCCACGGCCCAGACUCCUGCGGGAGGCAGCAGUGGGGAAGAUUGGACAAUGGGCGGAACCCUGAUCCAGCCAUGCCGCGUGUGUGAAGAAGGCCUUAUGGUUGUAAAGCACUUUAAGCGAGGAGGAGGCUACUCUAGUUAAUACCUAGGGAUAGUGGACGUUACUCGCAGAAUAAGCACCGGCUAACUCUGUGCCAGCCGCCGCAGUAAAAC
rnacentral:rRNA from 1 species